rfam:Blastomyces gilchristii SLH14081 genomic scaffold supercont1.13, whole genome shotgun sequence.
GUCAGUGUGACUCAGUUGAUAAGACUGAUAAUCAAGACUGCAUACAUUAGAGAUGCGUGAGUUCAAAUCUCAUCACUGGCA